rnacentral:rRNA from 1 species
CAAUGGGAAGUACAACGAGUCGCGAAGUCGCGAGGCUAAGCUAAUCUCUUAAAGCUUCUCUCAGUUCGGAUUGCAGGCUGCAACUCGCCUGCAUGAAGCCGGAAUCGCUAGUAAUCGCGGAUCAGCACGCCGCGGUGAAUACGUUCCCGGGCCUUGUACACACCGCCCGUCACACCACGAGAGUUUGUAACACCCGAAGUCGGUGAGGUAACCUUUUGGAGCCAGCCGCCUAA